rnacentral:rRNA from 1 species
AGUCGAGCGAUGGAUUGAGAGCUUGCUCUCAAGAAGUUAGCGGCGGACGGGUGAGUAACACGUGGGUAACCUGCCCAUAAGACUGGGAUAACUCCGGGAAACCGGGGCUAAUACCGGAUAAUAUUUUGAACUGCAUGGUUCGAAAUUGAAAGGCGGCUUCGGCUGUCACUUAUGGAUGGACCCGCGUCGCAUUAGCUAGUUGGUGAGGUAACGGCUCACCAAGGCAACGAUGCGUAGCCGACCUGAGAGGGUGAUCGGCCACACUGGGACUGAGACACGGCCCAGACUCCUACGGGAGGCAGCAGUAGGGAAUCUUCCGCAAUGGACGAAAGUCUGACGGAGCAACGCCGCGUGAGUGAUGAAGGCUUUCGGGUCGUAAAACUCUGUUGUUAGGGAAGAACAAGUGCUAGUUGAAUAAGCUGGCACCUUGACGGUACCUAACCAGAAAGCCACGGCUAACUACGUGCCAGCAGCCGCGGUAAUACGUAGGUGGCAAGCGUUAUCCGGAAUUAUUGGGCGUAAAGCGCGCGCAGGUGGUUUCUUAAGUCUGAUGUGAAAGCCCACGGCUCAACCGUGGAGGGUCAUUGGAAACUGGGAGACUUGAGUGCAGAAGAGGAAAGUGGAAUUCCAUGUGUAGCGGUGAAAUGCGUAGAGAUAUGGAGGAACACCAGUGGCGAAGGCGACUUUCUGGUCUGUAACUGACACUGAGGCGCGAAAGCGUGGGGAG